rnacentral:tRNA from 1 species
CGAGGUGUAGCGCAGUCUGGUCAGCGCAUCUGUUUUGGGUACAGAUGGCCAUAGGUUCGAACCUGUCACCUUGA